UACGUAGGGAGCGAGCGUUGUCCGGAAUCAUUGGGCGUAAAGAGCUCGUAGGCGGCUUGGUAAGUCGGAUGUGAAACCUCCAGGCUCAACCUGGAGUCGCCAUCCUAUACUGCCAUAGCUAGAGUCCGGUAGGGGCCCACGGAACUCCUGGUGUAGCGGUGAAAUGCGCAGAUAUCAGGAGGAACACCGGUGGCGAAGGCGGUUCUCUGGGCCUUACCUGACGCUGAGGAGCGAAAGCGUGGGGAGCGAACAGG
rnacentral:rRNA from 1 species